UCGAUGUAGCAGGUAAUGGCGGCCUAUCCUCCAGGAUACAAUAACUGGAUCACUCCAAGCGUACACUCGCAGAUGCAGUGAUACUGUCGAACAGCCCAGAACCUCACUCUUGGAAUGACAACAGAGAAGAGUAUCUCGGGAAGAAGAACAGAGAGGCAGAGGCUUUCGGGAACCAGAGGGAGGCCAGAGAGCCAGAGAGAGGAGAAAUUUUUAUUAGAUAACUCUAUCGGAUCUGAUGGGGUUUAAAAAAGAAAUAAAGAGGCGUAUUUAAAAGACACGUCUUUUUAUGAAAGAGGGGUUUUUAAAGACGCCCGUUUUAUCAAGAGAGAACCAAAGAGGUGUCGACGUUUUAUUCAAAACAAUUCAAAAAAUAAAACGGCAAAAAGAAAGGGGGGGUCCCCCCUGCGCGUGAUAAUUGAGCGCGACGCGCCCGGUUAAACGUUUUCGGAUCGGAUUCGCCAAUUUUGGCUUGGACCUCCAUUGGGCUCAUGCGCGCGUGGGCUACCUACUUUCUUUGCUUCACCAAGUUAGAAAGGCUGAAUACUACAUAAAGACCUUUUAAGUUUUAUCUCUUUCCAAUGUGGGACUAAAGGAAGUACACUAAACAAAAAGGCAAAAAGCAAAGAAGGGCAGAAUUGGAAUUUUAAAAUAUUCCAACAAU
rnacentral:lncRNA from 1 species